rnacentral:rRNA from 1 species
UACGUAGGGGGCAAGCGUUGUCCGGAAUCAUUGGGCGUAAAGAGCGUGUAGGCGGUUCGGUAAGUCCGCUGUGAAAGUCCAGGGCUCAACCCUGGAACGCCGGUGGAUACUGUCGGGCUAGAGUCCGGAAGAGGCGAGUGGAAUUCCUGGUGUAGCGGUGGAAUGCGCAGAUAUCAGGAGGAACACCGAUGGCGAAGGCGGCUCGCUGGGACGGUACUGACGCUGAGGCGCGAAAGCGUGGGGAGCGAACAGG